UGAGCAAUCUGCCCUUCUCUUCGGAAUAAGCGUUGGAAACGACGUCUAAUGCCGAAUACGACCUCCUUUCGCAUGAUCGGAGGUGGAAAGCUCCGGCGGAGAAGGAUGAGCUCGCGGCCUAUCAGCUAGUUGGUGUGGGUAACGGCCCACCAAGGCGACGACGGGUAGCCGGCCUGAGAGGGUGACCGGCCACACUGGGACCGAGACACGGCCCAGACUCCUACGGGAGGCAG
rnacentral:rRNA from 1 species